GUGGGGAAUCUUGCACAAUGGGCGCAAGCCUGAUGCAGCAACGCCGCGUGCGGGAAGAAGGCCCUAGGGUUGUAAACCGCUUUCAGCAGGGAAGAAACUGACGGUACCUGCAGAAGAAGGUGCGGCCAACUACGUGCCAGCAGCCGCGGUGACACGUAGGCACCAAGCGUUGUCCGGAUUUAUUGGGCGUAAAGAGCUCGUAGGCGGUUCGGUAAGUCGGGUGUGAAAUCUCUGGGCUCAACCCAGAGGGGCCACCCGAUACUGCUGUGACUAGAGUGCGGUAGGGGAGUGGGGAAUUCCUGGUGUAGCGGUGAAAUGCGCAGAUAUCAGGAGGAACACCAGUGGCGAAGGCGCCACUCUGGGCCGUAACUGACGCUGAGGAGCGAAAGCGUGGGUAGCAAACAGG
rnacentral:rRNA from 1 species